GAUGAACGCUGGCGGCGUGCCUAAUACAUGCCAGUAGAACGCUGAAGGAGGAGCUUGCUCUUCUGGAUGAGUUGCGAACGGGUGAGUAACGCGUAGGUAACCUGCCUGGUAGCGGGGGAUAACUAUUGGAAACGAUAGCUAAUACCGCAUGACAACAGUUAUUGCAUGAUAACUGUUUAAAAGGGGCAACUGCUCCACUACCAGAUGGACCUGCGUUGUAUUAGCUAGUUGGUGAGGUAACGGCUCACCAAGGCGACGAUACAUAGCCGACCUGAGAGGGUGAUCGGCCACACUGGGACUGAGACACGGCCCAGACUCCUACGGGAGGCAGCAGUAGGGAAUCUUCGGCAAUGGACGGAAGUCUGACCGAGCAACGCCGCGUGAGUGAAGAAGGGUUUCGGAUCGUAAAGCUCUGUUGUAAGAGAAGAACGAGGGUGAGAGUGGAAAGUUCACACUGUGACGGUAUCUUACCAGAAAGGGACGGCUAACUACGUG
rnacentral:rRNA from 1 species